rnacentral:rRNA from 1 species
GGAAGUUUUCGGAUGGAAGUUAAAUUGACUGAGCGGCGGACGGGUGAGUAACGCGUGGGUAACCUGCCUCAUACAGGGGGAUAACAGUUAGAAAUGACUGCUAAUACCGCAUAAGCGCACAGCAUCGCAUGAUGCAGUGUGAAAAACUCCGGUGGCAUGAGAUGGACCCGCGUCUGAUUAGCUAGUUGGUGAGGUAAAGGCCCACCAAGGCGACGAUCAGUAGCCGACCUGAGAGGGUGAUCGGCCACAUUGGGACUGAGACACGGCCCAAACUCCUACGGGAGGCAGCAGUGGGGAAUAUUGCACAAUGGGGGAAACCCUGAUGCAGCAACGCCGCGUGAGUGAAGAAGUAUUUCGGUAUGUAAAGCUCUAUCAGCAGGGAAGAAAAUGACGGUACCUGACUAAGAAGCCCCGGCUAACUACGUGCCAGCAGCCGCGGUAAUACGUAGGGGGCAAGCGUUAUCCGGAUUUACUGGGUGUAAAGGGAGCGUAGACGGCGAAGCAAGUCUGAAGUGAAAGCCCGGGGCUUAACCCCGGGACUGCUUUGGAAACUGUUUUGCUAGAGUGCUGGAGAGGUAAGUGGAAUUCCUAGUGUAGCGGUGAAAUGCGUAGAUAUUAGGAGGAACACCAGUGGCGAAGGCGGCUUACUGGACAGUA